GUCAGGGUCGAUGAGGUCGGAGGGCAAAUCACCGUCGUCAUUGGCAACGUCUAUGUUAGCCCCCAGGGAGAUGAGGUAUCUAAAGUGGGAAGCAAAAAGGUAAAAAAAAGAAGAAAAAGCCCUAAUAGCAAACAGACACAGGCAAGCAAAACAAAUUCCCCCAUUGAUGAUGCCAGAAAAACAUGUAA